UACGGAGGGUGCGAGCGUUGUCCGGAAUCACUGGGCGUAAAGGGCGCGUAGGCGGCCUGAUAAGUAGGGGGGUGAAAUCCUGCGGCUUAACCGCAGGGCUGCCUUCUAAACUGUCAGGCUAGAGCACAGUAGAGGCAGGUGGAAUUCCCGGUGUAGCGGUGGAAUGCGUAGAGAUCGGGAAGAACAUCAGUGGCGAAGGCGAGUCUGCUGGGUCAGUACUGACACUGAGGUACGAA
rnacentral:rRNA from 1 species